rnacentral:lncRNA from 1 species
CGUGACUGAUUGGUCCAAGUUUCGGACCUCCAAUGCGGCGACGUUGAAAUGGUUGACGUAAGCUCGGAUGGAUUCCCCCUCCCUUUGCUUGAUGUUGAUGAGGGACUCCGAGCCUCUUCGGGGAUGUUAGCUGCUAACAAAAUGAGCCGCAAACUGGUGGCUUAUCUGGUCAAAGGAGAAGAUGGUACCCGACUUCAACGCUGAGUAUCAGUUCUUUGUUGCUCCCUUCAGAGUGGAUGGGAAAGCUCGAC